CGGACGGGUGAGUAAUGCCUAGGAAUCUGCCUGGUAUGGGGACAACGUUUCGAAAGGAACGCUAAUACCGCAUACGUCCUACGGGAGAAAGCAGGGGACCUUCGGGCCUUGCGCUAUCAGAUGAGCCUAGGUCGGAUUAGCUAGUUGGUGAGGUAAUGGCUCACCAAGGCGACGAUCCGUAACUGGUCUGAGAGGAUGAUCAGUCACACUGGAACUGAGACACGGUCCAGACUCCUACGGGAGGCAGCAGCG
rnacentral:rRNA from 1 species